GAACGCGUAGCUCAGUUGGAAGAGCAUUGGGCUAGUAUUCCAAAGGUCGUAGGUUCGAAUCCCACCGUGGCCG
rnacentral:tRNA from 1 species